CACGGAGUUAGCCGAUCCUUAUUCUUACAGUACUGUCAAGCUCCCUCACGAGGGAUAAUUUCUUCCUGUACAAAGCAGUUUACAAUCCAUAGAACCGUCUUCCUGCACGCGGCAUGGCUGGUUCAGAGUUGCCUCCAUUGACCAAUAUUCCUCACUGCUGCCUCCCGUAGGAGUCUGGUCCGUGUCUCAGUACCAGUGUGGGGGAUCUCCCUCUCAGGACCCCUACCCAUCAUCGUCUUGGUGUGCCGUUACCACACCAACUAACUAAUGGGACGCAUGCUCAUCUUGUACCGUUGGAACUUUAAUAAUCAAAUGAUGCCAUUAAAUUAUACUAUGAGGUAUUAAUCCAAAUUUCUCUGGGCUAUCCCUCUGUACAAGGUUAGAUUGCAUACGCGUUACGCACCCGUGCGCCGGUCUCAAACACCGAAGUGUUCUACCCCUCGACUUGCAUGUGUUAGGCCUGCCGCUAGCGUUCAUCCGUGAGCCAGGAUCAAA
rnacentral:rRNA from 1 species